rnacentral:rRNA from 1 species
AUGAACGCUAGCGACAGGCUUAACACAUGCAAGUCGAGGGGCAGCACAGGUAGCAAUACCGGGUGGCGACCGGCGCACGGGUGAGUAACGCGUAUGCAACUUGCCUAUCAGAGGGGGAUAACCCGGCGAAAGUCGGACUAAUACCGCAUGAAGCAGGGGCCCCGCAUGGGGAUAUUUGCUAAAGAUUCAUCGCUGAUAGAUAGGCAUGCGUUCCAUUAGGCAGUUGGCGGGGUAACGGCCCACCAAACCGACGAUGGAUAGGGGUUCUGAGAGGAAGGUCCCCCACAUUGGUACUGAGACACGGACCAAACUCCUACGGGAGGCAGCAGUGAGGAAUAUUGGUCAAUGGCCGAGAGGCUGAACCAGCCAAGUCGCGUGAGGGAUGAAGGUUCUAUGGAUCGUAAACCUCUUUUAUAAGGGAAUAAAGUGCGGGACGUGUCCCGUUUUGUAUGUACCUUAUGAAUAAGGAUCGGCUAACUCCGUGCCAGCAGCCGCGGUAAUACGGAGGAUCCGAGCGUUAUCCGGAUUUAUUGGGUUUAAAGGGUGCGUAGGCGGCCUUUUAAGUCAGCGGUGAAAGUCUGUGGCUCAACCAUAGAAUUGCCGUUGAAACUGGGGGGCUUGAGUAUGUUUGAGGCAGGCGGAAUGCGUGGUGUAGCGGUGAAAUGCAUAGAUAUCACGCAGAACCCCGAUUGCGAAGGCAGCCUGCCAAGCCAUUACUGACGCUGAUGCACGAAAGCGUGGGGAUCAAACAGGAUUAGAUACCCUGGUAGUCCACGCAGUAAACGAUGAUCACUAGCUGUUUGCGAUACACUGUAAGCGGCACAGCGAAAGCGUUAAGUGAUCCACCUGGGGAGUACGCCGGCAACGGUGAAACUCAAAGGAAUUGACGGGGGCCCGCACAAGCGGAGGAACAUGUGGUUUAAUUCGAUGAUACGCGAGGAACCUUACCCGGGUUUGAACGCAUUCGGACCGAGGUGGAAACACCUUUUCUAGCAAUAGCCGUUUGCGAGGUGCUGCAUGGUUGUCGUCAGCUCGUGCCGUGAGGUGUCGGCUUAAGUGCCAUAACGAGCGCAACCCUUGCCACUAGUUACUAACAGGUAAAGCUGAGGACUCCGGUGGGACUGCCAGCGUAAGCUGCGAGGAAGGCGGGGAUGACGUCAAAUCAGCACGGCCCUUACAUCCGGGGCGACACACGUGUUACAAUGGCGUGGACAAAGGGAAGCCACCUGGCGACAGGGAGCGAAUCCCCAAACCACGUCUCAGUUCGGAUCGGAGUCUGCAACCCGACUCCGUGAAGCUGGAUUCGCUAGUAAUCGCGCAUCAGCCAUGGCGCGGUGAAUACGUUCCCGGGCCUUGUACACACCGCCCGUCAAGCCAUGGGAGCCGGGGGUACCUGAAGUCCGUAACCGCGAGGAUCGGCCUAGGGUAAAACUGGUGACUGGGGCU